UUACGGGCAUAUCUCGUUGAAACACAGGUCCUCAUACGAUCACCGCAGUUAAGCAACGACAAGCCUGGUCAGUACCUACAUGGGUAACCGCUUGGGAAUACCAAGUGUUGUGA